AGUGAACGCUGGCGGCAGGCCUAAUACAUGCAAGUCGAACGGUGUAGCAAUACACAGUGGCGCAUGGGUGCGUAACACGUAUGCAACCUACCUUACAUUGGGGGAUAGCCUUUCGAAAGGGAGAUUAAUACCGCAUAAGACAGUAACUAGGCAUCUAGUAGCUGUUAAAGAUUUAUCGAUGUAAGCUGGGCAUGCGUCCAAUUAGUUAGUUGGCGAGGUAAUGGCUCACCAAGACGAUGAUUGGUAGGGGAACUGAGAGGUCAAUCCCCCACACUGGCACUGAGAUACGGGCCAGACUCCUACGGGAGGCAGCAGUAGGGAAUAUUGGGCAAUGGGCGCAAGCCUGACCCAGCCAUGCCGCGUGCAGGAAGAAGGCGUUAUGCGUUGUAAACUGCUUUUAUACAGGAAGAAACGACCCUUGCGAGGGGCAUUGACGGUACUGUAUGAAUAAGCACCGGCUAACUCCGUGCCAGCAGCCGCGGUAAUAC
rnacentral:rRNA from 1 species